GUAUCAAGGCAGAAGAAUUAAAUUCAAGAUAUCUGUAGCAAAGAGAUCUCUGCUGAACUGAUUUUUCCAAAUAAACAUAUCCCAUACCCCAUAUUUCCAUGACUGAUUGCCAAGUCUACAUCUACUGACUGUGAAUAUUCUUAGAGAGUUAUAGAAAGCAAAGCAACUGUCUAACACAUCAAAAUUUAGAGCAAGUCCUUUAAAUGGGUGAGAAAUUACACAUCUCACAGCUUUCAAGAAGUGAAGCUUUCUUUGGAAAAAGAA